rnacentral:rRNA from 1 species
AGAGCGAACGCUGGCGGCAGGCCUAAUACAUGCAAGUCGAACGGAUCCUUCGGGAUUAGUGGCGGACGGGUGAGUAACACGUGGGAACGUGCCCUUUGGUUCGGAACAACUCAGGGAAACUUGAGCUAAUACCGAAUGUGCCCUUCGGGGGAAAGAUUUAUCGCCAUUGGAGCGGCCCGCGUCUGAUUAGCUAGUUGGUGGGGUAAAGGCCCACCAAGGCGACGAUCAGUAGCUGGUCUGAGAGGAUGAUCAGCCACACUGGGACUGAGACACGGCCCAGACUCCUACGGGAGGCAGCAGUAGGGAAUCUUGCGCAAUGGGCGAAAGCCUGACGCAGCCAUGCCGCGUGAAUGAUGAAGGUCUUAGGAUUGUAAAAUUCUUUCAGCGAGGACGAUAAUGACGGUACCCGCAGAAGAACGCCCCGGCUAACUUCGUGCCAGCAGCCGC